rnacentral:rRNA from 1 species
UCUCGGCAACGGAUAUCUCGGCUCUCGCAUCGAUGAAGAACGUAGCGAAAUGCGAUACCUGGUGUGAAUUGCAGAAUCCCGCGAACCAUCGAGUCUUUGAACGCAAGUUGCGCCCGAGGCCACUUGGCCGAGGGCACGCCUGCCUGGGCGUCACGCCAAACACGCUC